rnacentral:rRNA from 1 species
AACCUUACCAGGUCUUGACAUCCCGAUGCUAUUUCUAGAGAUAGAAAGUUACUUCGGUACAUCGGUGACAGGUGGUGCAUGGUUGUCGUCAGCUCGUGUCGUGAGAUGUUGGGUUAAGUCCCGCAACGAGCGCAACCCCUAUUGUUAGUUGCCGUCAUUCAGUUGGGCACUCUAGCGAGACUGCCGGUAAUAAACCGGAGGAAGUGGGGAUGACGUCAAAUCAUCAUGCCCCUUAUGACCUGGGCUACACACGUGCUACAAUGGUUGGUACAACGAGUUGCGAGUCGGUGACGGCGAGCUAAUCUCUUAAAGCCAAUCUCAGUUCGGAUUGUAGGCUGCAACUCGCCUACAUGAAGUCGGAAUCGCUAGUAAUCGCGGAUCAGCACGCCGCGUCGAUACGUUCCGGCCUU